rnacentral:rRNA from 1 species
AGAGUUUGAUCCUGGCUCAGGAUGAACGCUAGCGAUAGGCUUAACACAUGCAAGUCGAGGGGCAGCAUUAUUUUAGCUUGCUAAGAUAGAUGGCGACCGGCGCACGGGUGCGUAACGCGUAUGCAACCUGCCUGUAAUUAGGGAAUAACCCGGUGAAAGUCGGACUAAUACCCUAUAUUCUUCUUUUUCCGCAUGGAGAAGGACGGAAAGAUUUAUUGAUUACAGAUGGGCAUGCGUCCCAUUAGCUUGUUGGUAAGGUAACGGCUUACCAAGGCAACGAUGGGUAGGGGGACUGAGAGGUUGACCCCCCACACUGGUACUGAGACACGGACCAGACUCCUACGGGAGGCAGCAGUGAGGAAUAUUGGUCAAUGGGCGAGAGCCUGAACCAGCCAAGUCGCGUGAAGGACGACGGUUCUAUGGAUUGUAAACUUCUUUUGUAGAGGAAUAACGGCAGCUACGUGUAGCUGAGAUGCAUGUACUCUACGAAUAAGUAUCGGCUAACUCCGUGCCAGCAGCCGCGGUAAUACGGAGGAUACGAGCGUUAUCCGGAAUUAUUGGGUUUAAAGGGUGCGUAGGUGGCGUAUUAAGUCAGUGGUGAAAAGCUGCAGCUCAACUGUAGUCUUGCCGUUGAAACUGAUAUGCUAGAGAGGAGACGAGGUAUGCGGAAUGUGUGGUGUAGCGGUGAAAUGCAUAGAUAUCACACAGAACGCCGAUUGCGAAGGCAGCGUACCAGGCUCCGUCUGACACUGAAGCACGAAAGCGUGGGGAUCAAACAGGAUUAGAUACCCUGGUAGUCCACGCAGUAAACGAUGAAUACUAGAUUUUUGCGAUAUAGUGUAAGAGUCUAAGCGAAAGCGAUAAGUAUUCCACCUGGGGAGUACGCCGGCAACGGUGAAACUCAAAGGAAUUGACGGGGGCCCG